rnacentral:rRNA from 1 species
AUUGAACGCUGGCGGCAGGCCUAACACAUGCAAGUCGAGCGGAUGAAGGGAGCUUGCUCCUGGAUUCAGCGGCGGACGGGUGAGUAAUGCCUAGGAAUCUGCCUGGUAGUGGGGGAUAACGUCCGGAAACGGGCGCUAAUACCGCAUACGUCCUGAGGGAGAAAGUGGGGGAUCUUCGGACCUCACGCUAUCAGAUGAGCCUAGGUCGGAUUAGCUAGUUGGUGGGGUAAAGGCCUACCAAGGCGACGAUCCGUAACUGGUCUGAGAGGAUGAUCAGUUACACUGGAACUGAGACACGGUCCAGACUCCUACGGGAGGCAGCAGUGGGGAAUACUGGACAAUGGGCGAAAGCCUGAUCCAGCCAUGCCGCGUGUGUGAAGAAGGUCUUCGGAUUGUAAAGCACUUUAAGUUGGGAGGAAGGGCAGUAAGUUAAUACCUUGCUGUUUUGACGUUACCAACAGAAUAAGCACCGGCUAACUUCGUG